UCCCCGGCCUGGCUCCGCCGCCCUUCGCCGCCCUCGCCUGUGCCGCCGCCUCGUCGCUGCUGGGGUUCCUGCGCUCGGCACCCCGGCCUCGCCGCCUGCUGCUGCUGCCGCCCCUGCCCUCGUCGCCGCAGCCGCCCCGCGCCCCCCGCUGCCUCCCGGCGCCACCCGCCAUGCCCGGCCCGGCCGCCGGGAGCAGGGCCCGGGUCUACGCCGAGGUGAACAGCCUGAGGAGCCGCGAGUACUGGGACUACGAGGCGCACGUCCCGAGCUGGGGUAAUCAGGACGAUUACCAACUGGUUCGGAAACUUGGUCGGGGAAAAUAUAGUGAAGUAUUUGAGGCCAUUAACAUCACCAACAAUGAGAGAGUGGUUGUAAAAAUUCUCAAGCCAGUGAAGAAAAAGAAGAUAAAACGAGAGGUUAAGAUUCUGGAAAAUCUUCGAGGUGGAACAAAUAUCAUUAAGCUCAUUGACACUGUGAAAGACCCGGUGUCAAAGACUCCAGCUUUGGUGUUUGAAUACAUCAAUAAUACUGAUUUUAAGCAACUAUACCAGAUCCUUACAGACUUUGAUAUCCGGUUUUAUAUGUAUGAACUACUUAAGGCUCUGGAUUACUGUCAUAGCAUGGGCAUCAUGCACAGAGAUGUCAAACCACACAAUGUUAUGAUUGAUCACCAACAGAAAAAGCUUCGACUAAUAGACUGGGGUCUGGCUGAGUUCUACCAUCCUGCUCAGGAGUAUAAUGUCCGUGUGGCCUCUAGGUACUUCAAAGGGCCAGAGCUCCUCGUGGACUACCAGAUGUAUGACUACAGCUUGGAUAUGUGGAGUUUAGGCUGUAUGCUGGCCAGCAUGAUCUUCCGAAAGGAGCCCUUCUUCCAUGGCCAAGACAACUACGACCAGCUUGUCCGGAUUGCCAAAGUACUUGGUACAGAUGAAUUAUAUGGAUAUCUGAAGAAGUACCACAUAGACCUGGACCCACACUUCAAUGAUAUCCUGGGGCAACACUCUCGAAAACGCUGGGAAAACUUCAUCCAUAGUGAGAAUAGACAUCUUGUCAGUCCCGAGGCCCUGGACCUUCUUGACAAACUUCUGCGAUAUGACCAUCAACAGAGGCUGACUGCCAAAGAGGCCAUGGAACACCCUUAUUUCUACCCUGUGGUGAAGGAGCAGUCCCAGCCAAGCUCAGAAAAUUCUGUGCUCUCCAGUGGUCUGACAGCAGCGCGAUGAAGACUGGAAAACGACGGGUAAUUCAAGAUUGAUGAUAACCAAUAAAACAUCCAACCAAAAAAAUCUUGAAGGAAAACUACAGUGUGAUAUGAGAAAUUCUGAUCGUUCCUUCUAAAUGCAAAGAAGAGUCUGAUGCUGUUUCUCCCACUUUUCCAUAAGCAGAACAAGAACCAACUCAAAUGUCUUAACGUGUGUACAGAGACCACAUGCAGCGGACAGACACGUCACGGUGACAGGUUACGAGAGCAGGAACCACACCAGCUGAAUGGCAACCAACAGUUUAUAAAACAAACCUUACUUCUGAAUGUAAAAGGUUCAUACGCCUUUGACUUCCUGUUGACUUCCUUCUGACCCAGAAAGCAUGGAAAAUGUGGAGGGUAUGCAAAAUGGUUGUUGGUUAAUGUUGCUCCCCCACUUCCUACAUCCUCACCUCAACCCAUUGACCUUUGGCCCCAUGGCCCCCCUCCCCAGCAAACUGUAUUAACUAGCUGGCCACAAACUCCAGUUGGGGAAUGGGGGGGAAAUAUAUGGCAUGAUGGACAGUUAUAUAUUAUAAUUAAAAAAUUAUAUAUUAUUGAAUAAAAGUUUUAAAAGAAA